UUGCGGGCUUUGUCCAAUGAAAUACUUAUCGGACAUAAAGAUUCCAGAUAAGUGUUCAUUGGAUGAAGGCAGCUA
rnacentral:pre_miRNA from 1 species